rnacentral:rRNA from 1 species
AUUGAACGCUGGCGGCAGGCCUAACACAUGCAAGUCGAGCGGAGCGGCGGACGGGUGAGUAAUGCCUAGGAAUCUGCCUGGUAGUGGGGGAUAACGUCCGGAAACGGGCGCUAAUACCGCAUACUAUCAGAUGAGCCUAGGUCGGAUUAGCUAGUUGGUGGGGUAAAGGCCUACCAAGGCGACGAUCCGUAACUGGUCUGAGAGGAUGAUCAGUCACAUUGGAACUGAGACAGGACCAGACUCGUACGGGAGGCAGCAGUGGGGAUGAUGGGACAAUGGGCGAAGGCCUGAUCAAGACAUGCCGCGUGUUUGAAGAAUGUCUGCUGAUUGUAAAGCACUUUAAGUUGGGAGGCGUUACCAACAGAAUAAUCACCGGCUAACUUCGUGCCAGAAGCCGCGGUAAUAC